rfam:Burkholderia sacchari strain LMG 19450 contig00030, whole genome shotgun sequence.
GCAACUUGCGCCUCGCGCACGGCAACCGCACCGUGUUCCUGAGCCUGCUCGGGAUUUCGUGGCUGUGGUUCGUUGGCGCGACGUUUCUGGCCUCGUUCUUCAACUUCGCCAAGGACGUGCUG